UACGGGGGGGGCAAGCGUUGUUCGGAAUUACUGGGCGUAAAGGGCUCGUAGGCGGCCAACUAAGUCAGACGUGAAAUCCCUCGGCUUAACCGGGGAACUGCGUCUGAUACUGGAUGGCUUGAGUUUGGGAGAGGGAUGCGGAAUUCCAGGUGUAGCGGUGAAAUGCGCAGAUAUCAGGAAGAACACCCGUGGCGAAGGCGGUUCUCUGGGACGGUACUGACGCUGAGACGCGAAAGCGUGGGGAGCGAACAGG
rnacentral:rRNA from 1 species